rnacentral:rRNA from 1 species
UACGUAGGGGGCAAGCGUUGUCCGGAUUUAUUGGGCGUAAAGAGCGUGUAGGCGGCCAGAUAGGUCCGUUGUGAAAACUCGAGGCUCAACCUCGAGACGCCGAUGGAAACCAUCUGGCUAGAGUCCGGAAGAGGAGAGUGGAAUUCCUGGUGUAGCGGUGAAAUGCGCAGAUAUCAGGAAGAACACCCGUGGCUAAGGCGGCUCUCUAGUACGGUACUGACGCUGAGACGCGAAAAGCGUGGGGAGCGAACAGG